UACGUAGGGGGCAAGCGUUGUCCGGAUUUAUUGGGCGUAAAGAGCGUGUAGGCGGCUUUACAGGUCCGUUGUGAAAACUCGAGGCUCAACCUCGAGACGCCGGUGGAAACCGUAAAGCUAGAGUCCGGAAGAGGAGAGUGGAAUUCCUGGUGUAGCGGUGAAAUGCGCAGAUAUCAGGAGGAACACCCGUGGCGAAAGCGGCUCUCUGGGACGGUACUGACGGCUGAGACGCGAAAGCGUGGGGAGCAAACAGGG
rnacentral:rRNA from 1 species